GGGCUUGUAGUUCAGUUGGGAGAAUAUCUGAUUUGCACUCAGAAGGUCAGCGGUUCGAAUCCGCUCAAGUCCA